rnacentral:rRNA from 1 species
AUCUAUACUGUGAAACUGCGAAUGGCUCAUUAAAUCAGUUAUCGUUUAUUUGAUAGUACCUUACUACUUGGAUAACCGUGGUAAUUCUAGAGCUAAUACAUGCUAAAAACCCCGACUUCGGAAGGGGUGUAUUUAUUAGAUAAAAAACCAAUGCCCUUCGGGGCUCCUUGGUGAUUCAUGAUAACUUAACGAAUCGCAUGGCCUUGCGCCGGCGAUGGUUCAUUCAAAUUUCUGCCCUAUCAACUUUCGAUGGUAGGAUAGUGGCCUACCAUGGUAUCAACGGGUAACGGGGAAUUAGGGUUCUAUUCCGGAGAGGGAGCCUGAGAAACGGCUACCACAUCCAAGGAAGGCAGCAGGCGCGCAAAUUACCCAAUCCCGACACGGGGAGGUAGUGACAAUAAAUACUGAUACAGGGCUCUUUUGGGUCUUGUAAUUGGAAUGAGUACAAUUUAAAUACCUUAACGAGGAACAAUUGGAGGGCAAGUCUGGUGCCAGCAGCCGCGGUAAUUCCAGCUCCAAUAGCGUAUAUUAAAGUUGUUGCAGUUAAAAAGCUCGUAGUUGAACCUUGGGCCUGGCUGGCCGGUCCGCCUCACCGCGUGUACUGGUCCGGCCGGGCCUUUCCUUCUGGGGAUCCUCAUGCCCUUCACUGGGUGUGCUGGGGAACCAGGACUUUUACUUUGAAAAAAUUAGAGUGUUCAAAGCAGGCCUUUGCUCGAAUACAUUAGCAUGGAAUAAUAGAAUAGGACGUGCGGUCCUAUUUUGUUGGUUUCUAGGACCGCCGUAAUGAUUAAUAGGGAUAGUCGGGGGCAUCAGUAUUCAAUUGUCAGAGGUGAAAUUCUUGGAUUUAUUGAAGACUAACUACUGCGAAAGCAUUUGCCAAGGAUGUUUUCAUUAAUCAGUGAACGAAAGUUAGGGGAUCGAAGACGAUCAGAUACCGUCGUAGUCUUAACCGUAAACUAUGCCGACUAGGGAUCGGGCGAUGUUAUUCUUUUGACUCGCUCGGCACCUUACGAGAAAUCAAAGUCUUUGG